rnacentral:piRNA from 1 species
UGCUGAAAUAGCCUUUGCUCCUGCC